rnacentral:lncRNA from 1 species
AGGGAAGCCACCUUCCCACUCCCAGUGGUAGUGGCUUCUCCACCCCCUCACCUCUCAACUGGUGGGAUUAAACUUGCAUUGUCCUCGAAAACUGUAAUGACCUCCUCUGUGGUAGAUGCUAUGCUAGACAGUGAUUCUCCUCAAGAUCCAUUUAUAUCACCCCUCUGUGCUUCUAGUUCAAAAUGCUAAAACUGCCUUGGUUUAAUAUAGAGGAAGAGAUUCAAAGGCUUAGGGAGAUUGAAAUGUUAGAGUGGAUUUGUCAUUUAGUAUCUUCCCCCUCACUCAGGGAGAGUCCAGAAGACAUAUUUUUCACCACGAUUGUGAGACAUAAAUUUGUGAUGGAAUCCCUGGUAUCCUUGAAAAACUCCGUGAUCACUCUUCU